ACAAUUGUCGAUGAUUAAUCUGCAAAACGCAUUUGAACGUUUCAGAUUAUCACCGCGUUUAAUCGCCACCGUGAGACUUCCCGGCAAACAAUUCAAGAGACUGUUACCUCUCUCAUGGAAGCUCGAUGGAGCUGGAGAUUUCAAUUUUGAUUUCAUCAUCAAUUGCAGAACCGGAAUCGCAUCCGCCGCUAAAACAGCUUGAGAUCUAGCCGUCUCCGUCGGCAUUGUUGUCCACGAUUGUCGCAACGUGUAGAUCGUGUCCAUCGCCGAAUCUCUCGCUUCUUGCUCGCCGGAUUUCAAAGCUCCGAUUAAGUGAGGGAUACAAGCGGUAGCUGCUUCCGACGAACGGAGUUUUGGAAACGUUGUGAGAAUCGUGUUUAGCGUUCUCACUAUUUCUACGUUUAUCGCCGUCGUUGUCCAAAACUCUCUCUCCAUCGCAUCUGCAUUGAAAUCAGUGAGUGUUUGAUUCUCAAUCCGAUCAUAAAUUUUGAAUUCGGAAUUGAAACUUACUUGUUAGAGAUUUGAUGAUUUCACCAGAGACGUAUUCUUGAAGUGUAUGAUUAGAGAAGAGAGAUUUGAUAAUUAGAGCUGCUUGUGUAGAAACUUGUGGAUUACUAGAUCUAAGCAUUUCCUGAACCCAAUAUACUCCACCAGCUUCAGCCAUAGCUUUACGACUUGUUCUACUAUGCAUUGCAAAGUUUUCCAAAGCACGCAUCACAACCAUUUGCAUUUCCUCGCUCGGUUCAUCUUCAAGCAAGCUGAUUAACGCACGACAUGCCACGGGCGAGUCCGUGGCUUUAGCGAGUCCUUCGUGUUGAGAGAUGUCACCUAGAGCCAUUGCUAUGAGAAUUUUUGCGGAUUCUGAUAUUGUGUCUGGGUCUAGUAUGUACUCUGAUAGAGGGGUAAGUACAAACUGACAUAUCUUUGUCUCUCUAACCUUUGGAUUGCGUAGUAUUAAUUCGAGUAAUCUUGCUGAGAGUUCUUCGCAGUGGUGUGAUCUUAGUAGAUCUAGUAAUGCGUCGAGUGCACUGGAUUCUGCCAUUUCUUGAACGCUUGACGAGUCUUGAUUCUCACGGAUGAUCAAUGCGUCGAUGGCUAAGAUCACUGUGCUUUCAGCUGUGGAGAACAACAUUUUUGACAGAACUGGUAUAGUCACCGUAAAGUAAUAGUGUUCUGGGUUGAUUCUGAGAAUGUUGCAGAGAAUGAAAGCUGCUGAUUCCCAUAGAUAUACAGGAAGCUGAGGAUCUUCGUCGAUGAUAACCUUGGAGAGCUCUUGAAUUCCUCCGGUAUCUGCUACCUCUUUUGGCCAUGUAACUGAAGAUCUCUCUAAACCCAUCAAUGCUAUCUCUUGUAAGUUUCUUACUCUGAUCCCUACCAGUUUCACUAGAGGAGCAAUGAGAUUUUUGGUUGUUAUCUCUUCUUGGAAACGUUGCAUUUCGAGUAGAGAGGUCAGUAGUAUUGUGGUUGCAUUUUUGACCGCUAUUGACUCGGACUCAAGCAGUGGUAUCAAAGGCAUAAUGAUUGUGGAAGAUGCAAUUUUCAAUGAUUCAAGAACCAUUGGCUUCUCCAAGAUGUUUGCUAUAGCUUGUAAACCACCGAGUUGACCUUGAAAAUCCAAGUCUUGUCUAAGCAAAAUCAAAAGGAGCGGUUGUACCAUUUUUAUAGCGUCUUGGCUUCGAGCUAUAACACCAACGUUCGUCAAAACUCUGAAAAGAUCUGCGAUUACAGAACACAAAGAACUUGGCGGCGAUUUGGAGAGUUGGCUAAUACAUUUCUCGAUUAUCCCCAUUUUAAUCAGAUCCAUUUUCCGGGGAGUAUUGUCUUUAGCCAUUUUCGUAAGACAAGAAAUUGCAGCCUCACUGAUCAGAUAGUUUUCGGAAGCCACAUAUCCGUAGAACAGGUUCACACAAUCAUGUUCUUCUGCAACCUCUACAAAUCUUUUGAUAUCCAAGAGUCUGUCUAGUGCAAACAUUCCGGCUUCUAUAGCUGUACUUUUUCCUGUUCGGAUAAGUGAUAUAAGGGAUACAAUGCAACAUGCGGCAGAUGUGCUUGUUCUCAAACCUUCAUUGGUAAAUAGAAAGCGGCAUAUCCUUGCAGCACUUGUCUUUGAUUCAAGCGAAGAACUAUCUAAAGACAAAAUUUUGUAGAUGUUGUCCAAUGGGUUUCCUUCAAGACUAGUAAGAAUAUCUGGCCUUGGAUUUAUUCCCAUAGUUAGCUUCACUAAAGCUGUUAGAGCAGCUACUCUCUCACUCUCUAACGUUGUAUUCAACAUUUCAAUAAGAGGAGAAAGUGCUUUCCAUGCUAAUUCAGAAUCUCUGAUGUGCUCAGAGCUAAACAGUUCACAGAGGACCCUUGCAGCAUUGUAGCGAGUACUUCUAGAAGCAAGAUGAAGAAUUCCUAUGAGCUGCUUCAUGGAACUUAUAGCUGUUUUAUGUCGUGUGAUUUCCGGGCUGCGAAAGAGUGAUUCUAACAGUUCAGAAACGGUAAUCUCUGUUGAAUCUUGAGGGCUCAAAGAAAGGUACUUUGCUAAAGCAUCUAGAGCUCCAGCUUCAGCGAUAAGUAAUUUACUUAAAUCGUCAUUGUCUGCAAUACGACGAAGAAGUCGAAUAGCCACUGGAAUGCCUCCAACUUUAUCUGCAUAUGGCUUCAAGAGAUUCACGAGCAAGGGAAUACAUUUUUUGGUAAAUGAACCGCUUCUUACUCUUUCAUUUUCAAAGAGUACCUCUAAUGUGGCCUCAUAAGGAUUUUGUACCAGAGAUAGCUCUUCUGCUAAGGCACAAAGACUCCUUGUGUCUGAUUCUUCACACCCUACCAAGUUUAUCGUAGUUUCUACGAUAUCUGAAUUCAUGAUUUCUGAAAUUGUUUUAUCAUUCUUAUGACGAACUAACGCUGCUAACACUUGUGCAGUAAAAUAUCCAUCAAUCAUCUGCUCAGAUUGCAUGAAAGGUGCUAGCGUUUGCAAAAUAUUUUCUGUUGCUGGAGAUGAGACAACCUUUGGUUCCUGAGACAUAACAGCUAAAAAUGACAUAGCGAUCCAUUUUUCCUCGGAAUCAGAGGAAUUCUCCUACAAAAAUUAAAGAUAAUAAGUCAGCAAAACCAACACUUGCAGGAUUUAGAAGAAAAAGCUAAAGAGAGCAAGUAAGUAUACUUAUUUACCUGUGUGUUAGACUUGUUUCUUUGAAGAUUUUCUGCAAUAAUUUCAAGUCCAUUGCCUUCCAUGACAACAAGUCUGUUCGAAGGAUGAGAAGAGCAAAUAAUGGAGAGUAACCACAUAGAGGCGGUGCUUCCCAAGAUAGUAACUGGAUCAACCAUUUCAGAGUCAUCCAUCCUUAAGCACAAAUUGCUUGUAAUAAAAGAUCUUGGUCUUUGAAUUUCAAUUCCAUAUGAAGCAGAUUUAGAGUUCUGCUUUGACAUAUCAAGAAGAGUGUUUACUAAGGUUUUCAAAUACCCUGAUUGUUCAACCGCUUCCGCCCAUAAUGUAAUGUCGUUCUUUGCUGCGCACACAAGCAAGAUCGCUCCUCCAACUUUGAUUUCAGGACUUGAUGAGUUGAUUGUUCUGUUAGCCAAUGAAGAAAUUGAUUUUGAUUGUGUCACCAAAAGUCGACCUAACAAGAUAAAUUGUGUCUUGCAGAAACGAGACAAAAUCUCUAUUGCUUUAUCUUGCACCAAAGGAUGACCUUCAGCUAAACCGCGGACAAGAGAGUCUAAAUUUGAAGGAACUUCACCGAAUGCAGAAAAAGGGUUAUGUGACAAGUUAGCACCAUAUUUAGCUUUGGCUAGUAAAGAGAGUACUUCUAAGACGUCGAUGAAAGCGCUGUUGUUCAGUGUUCCCUCUCUCAGUACUCUGGUCAAAGCAGAAACAACGUCAUCGUUUAAUGCUUCAGCUGCAACAUUUGGGUCUGAAAGAAGGUUCGCAAGAGUGGACAUGGGAUUCUCUGUUGACUCGAUGGGGUUUGUUUUUGCUGACUUUAUCAAUGGUUUGAUCACUUCGACUUCUGGACCGGAUAAUUUCUUUGUUGCAGUUUUUUUCUUUGUUGGAUUAGAUAGAGAGCCCAAGGCAUGCGCUAACUGCGUUGCAACAGCGUGAGUGUUUCCGCUUAAAAGCUUUGUGCACGGAUUGUCAUCCUCAUCAAAUCCAAGACCACCACAAAGGUCUUUUCUUGAACUGAAUAGAUCAGCCAAGACAGAAGCUGCGUUCUCUUUCAUCUUCUCGUUUGAUGAGGCAAGUCUCUGGACAAGCGACCUCAAUCCAUUAUUCGCUGCGGAACCCUUGGUGACAAAUUCUUCCAAAGAAGCCGAUGCAAGAACAUGGCCUAGAACUCUAAUCAAAUGAGUCUUUGAUUUAGGAGCAUCUCCAAGAAACAAAGCCUGUACUUGCUCGAUAACACUUGGAUCAGCUGUUUUAAUCAGUUUCAAAAGCGUAUUUGCUGAGCUCUCUUGUGAUUUUGGUCCACCGUUCUUUAAAAGACCCAAAAGUGCAGGAAUAGCUCCUGCUUUCUCAACGCAGAGGCGGAUUUCUUCGCUGUGACAACAUAGGUUCAAAAUUACACGGACCGCAUCGUCCUUUGCUUUCUGAGAUACACCAGUCUCUAAUAUCUGCAAUAAUGGAGGAAUCCCACCUGCAGAAGUAACAGCCCAUCUACUUUCUUCGACAUUAUCGGUCAAGAUCGCUAAGAACUCAACAGACAGUUCUUGAUGUUGUUCGCUAGACAAACCAAGGUACGGUAUGAGGAUUUGUAUCCCUUCUCUCUUCCCAAUAGCAUCCCAAACAUCACCAUGCUUGCAUAAAUUUGACAAACAAGUAAUCAUCCGCUCACGUGGACCGUCCGUGGCCAAUAUUGUUAGACAGACUAAAACCCUCUUAGCGUCAACAUUGUUGAGUAGUUUUGAUAGAUCAACAUUUCCGAAUAGACUUUCCAUAGCCUCCAAGAUACGUUCGUGGAUCAAUUGAGUAUCCCGGGGCUUUAGUAGUUUCACUAGUAUUCCUUCUGUUAGUGUUGGAUCAAAAGCUUCUCUAGUAUCACCGCAACUUAGCUGAAAUUUUCUCAGAGCAUAAGCAAGAGCUCCAAGAAUAUCAGCGAUGGGCUCAGUGAGGCGUGGAGACAAAGAUAGCCCUCCAAGAUACACUAUCAAACCAGACAUUCCUCCGCAUAAGUUUGCUAAAGCUUGUGUCCCAUAACUUUGUAAGACGCGUUCAGUUUCCUCCUCCACUGACUCUUUAGAAGAUGCAACCACUGCGCUAAUAAGAAGGUGGAUCCCAUCUAAAUCUCUUGCCACAGUUAUAGCUUCUUCUGACUUUGAUGUGAUGGCUUCUAGAGCGUUGACUACACUGGCACGUACGAAAACACUAUUUUCUUCACCUAGAAGCUGAACCAGAACUUGCACAGCACCUGACUCUUCAACUUUUGAGAUACUGCUGGUAAAAAUCCUGAUAAGACGAGCUAAGAGAGAAGCUGCGUUUGAUUGAGAUACCGGGUUACUAGACUGGAGAAGCUUUAAGAUGAUAUCUACUCCGCCAUCUUCAAGUGUUAAUGCCCAAAACCCGUCUUUAUCACCGCAAAGAUUUCUCAAAGCUCCAACCAAAUGUCCUUCCACUGUCUUGUCCUGUUUUUUCCCCGUCUUUAAUUGAUCCCACAAACUCGGUACCACGCCUUCCGUGACAAAUAUUUUAGUACCUACAUUAUCACCAUCCAUUCCACACAAGGAAACUUCAUAUAUGGCCUCGGCUACAACUCUUUUUGCAUCCACAGAGUCAGACUUCAAAAGUGAUAGCAGCGGUGGGAUACAUCCGCCUAUCAGUAUCUUAGAACGAACGUUUUUGUCUUUGCAUAGAACGGUUAGGACUGAAGCGGAAUUGAGUUUUGCCAAGAGGGUUCCACUCCUAAGAAGUGAUAUAAAGGCAGGCAUGGCGUUCACAUUCUGGCUAAUGAUCUUUCUACAUUCCUUUUUACCCUUGGCUAAACCAAGAAGCCGAGCGGUGCUAAGCUCUUUCUCUUGCGCCGAUGAUUUCUUGGCAUGAAGCUGUUCGAUGAGACGUGUGAUUGUAACCGCUGCUUUCUCUGGAUCAUCCAUCUCAGACGUCAUUGUUUUAUUAUCGUCCCUGCACCCAAAAGCCCUCAAUUAUACAAAGAUAAAGAUAGCAAAGCAAAUAGUCAAAAAGUAUUGAAAGCAAUUCGAUACCUCAGCCGAGGAGAAGACACGGAAGGAGUCUCUUGGUCAUUCGUUGAGGAGGGAGGCAUUGACAUAUUCUCUUUUCUGAAGAAACUCCUUUAGAAAACAGAAACAAAAACAUUUAGCUAAAUGGAUUCAACAACAAAUCAAACUAAAGAUAGAAUCCUCUUGAUUUUGUAUUAUUGUCAUUUGGUGAUUAAGAGAUUUUUUUCCUGCCACAAUCAAAUGCACAAUUCAUUUACAAAAUUACCUUUUAUGCAAACGUUCUAUUACUCCUUUUUA
rnacentral:lncRNA from 1 species